rnacentral:rRNA from 1 species
GACGAACGCUGGCGGCGUGCUUAACACAUGCAAGUCGAACGGAAAGGCCCUGCUUUUGUGGGGUGCUCGAGUGGCGAACGGGUGAGUAACACGUGAGUAACCUGCCCUUGACUUUGGGAUAACUUCAGGAAACUGGGGCUAAUACCGGAUAGGAGCUCCUGCUGCAUGGUGGGGGUUGGAAAGUUUCGGCGGUUGGGGAUGGACUCGCGGCUUAUCAGCUUGUUGGUGGGGUAGUGGCUUACCAAGGCUUUGACGGGUAGCCGGCCUGAGAGGGUGACCGGCCACAUUGGGACUGCGAUACGGCCCAGACUCCUACGGGAGGCAGCAGUGGAGAGUAUUGCGCAAUGGGCGGAAGCGUGAUGCAGCAACGCCGCGUGCGGGAUGACGGCCUUCGGGUUGUAAACCGCUUUCGCCUGUGACGAAGCGUGAGUGACGGUAAUGGGUAAAGAAGCACCGGCUAACUACGUG